rnacentral:rRNA from 1 species
UACGGAGGGGACUAGCGUUGUUCGGAAUUACUGGGCGUAAAGCGCGCGUAGGCGGAUUUGCAAGUCGGGGGUGAAAGCCCGAGGCUCAACCUCGGAACUGCCCUCGAUACUGCAAAUCUCGAGUCCGAGAGAGGUGAGUGGAAUUCCUAGUGUAGAGGUGAAAUUCGUAGAUAUUAGGAAGAACACCAGUGGCGAAGGCGGCUCACUGGCUCGGUACUGACGCUGAGGCGCGAAAGCGUGGGAAGCAAACAGG